AGCUUUGCGCAGUGGCAGUAUCGUAGCCAAUGAGGUUUAUCCGAGGCGCGAUUAUUGCUAAUUGAAACAUUCCUUGAAACUUCUCUGAGAGUAACAAAUGACUAUUCAGAAAAACCUUUGAAAGUUAGAGACAAA